UACGUAGGGGGGCAAGCGUUGUCCGGAAUCAUUGGGCGUAAAGAGCGUGUAGGCGGUUUGGUAGGUCCGCUGUGAAAACUCGAGGCUCAACCUCGAGACGCCGGUGGAAACCAUCAGACUAGAGUCCGGAAGAGGAGAGUGGAAUUCCUGGUGUAGCGGUGGAAUGCGCAGAUAUCAGGAAGAACACCCGUGGCGAAGGCGGCUCUCUGGGACGGUACUGACGCUGAGACGCGAAAGCGUGGGGAGCGAACAGG
rnacentral:rRNA from 1 species